AUGGUUCAGAGAACCUGGUGCCCACUAACCGUGUAAUCCGAUCACCUCCACACAGAGACUACUUAACAAUGUGCUGAGCCCACUCCCUCUCCCGGCACACACGGCACGAGAAAGAGCUAGUGGCUGCGGGAGGAGGACGGCGGACUGCAGCCCCUGCAGUGAGGCGAAACGUGAAGGGACCCAGGGCGAAGCCUGGACAAACGAAACAAGGCGCAGGCAGAGUGAGCUCAAAGAACAGAACAAUCUACAAAGCAUGUGAUCACACACAGCCA
rnacentral:lncRNA from 1 species